rnacentral:rRNA from 1 species
UACGAAGGGGGCUAGCGUUGUUCGGAAUUACUGGGCGUAAAGCGCGCGCAGGCGGUCUUCCAAGUCAGUGGUGAAAGCCCGGAGCUCAACUCCGGAACUGCCAUUGAAACUGUGAGACUUGAGGAUGAGAGAGGUGAGUGGAAUUCCCAGUGUAGAGGUGAAAUUCGUAGAUAUUGGGAAGAACACCAGUGGCGAAGGCGGCCCGCUGGGCAGUGGCUGACGCUGAGGCGCGACAGCGUGGGGAGCAAACAGG